rnacentral:rRNA from 1 species
AGAGUUUGAUCAUGGCUCAGAUUGAACGCUGGCGGCAGGCCUAACACAUGCAAGUCGAACGGUAACAGGAAGAAGCUUGCUUCUUUGCUGACGAGUGGCGGACGGGUGAGUAAUGUCUGGGAAACUGCCUGAUGGAGGGGGAUAACUACUGGAAACGGUAGCUAAUACCGCAUAACGUCGCAAGACCAAAGAGGGGGACCUUCGGGCCUCUUGCCAUCGGAUGUGCCCAGAUGGGAUUAGCUAGUAGGUGGGGUAACGGCUCACCUAGGCGACGAUCCCUAGCUGGUCUGAGAGGAUGACCAGCCACACUGGAACUGAGACACGGUCCAGACUCCUACGGGAGGCAGCAGUGGGGAAUAUUGCACAAUGGGCGCAAGCCUGAUGCAGCCAUGCCGCGUGUAUGAAGAAGGCCUUCGGGUUGUAAAGUACUUUCAGCGGGGAGGAAGGGAGUAAAGUUAAUACCUUUGCUCAUUGACGUUACCCGCAGAGGAAGCACCGGCUAACUCCGUGCCAGCAGCCGCGGUAAUACGGAGGGUGCAAGCGUUAAUCGGAAUUACUGGGCGUAAAGCGCACGCAGGCGGUUUGUUAAGUCAGAUGUGAAAUCCCCGGGCUCAACCUGGGAACUGCAUCUGAUACUGGCAAGCUUGAGUCUCGUAGAGGGGGGUAGAAUUCCAGGUGUAGCGGUGAAAUGCGUAGAGAUCUGGAGGAAUACCGGUGGCGAAGGCGGCCCCCUGGACGAAGACUGACGCUCAGGUGCGAAAGCGUGGGGAGCAAACAGGAUUAGAUACCCUGGUAGUCCACGCCGUAAACGAUGUCGACUUGGAGGUUGUGCCCUUGAGGCGUGGCUUCCGGAGCUAACGCGUUAAGUCGACCGCCUGGGGAGUACGGCCGCAAGGUUAAAACUCAAAUGAAUUGACGGGGGCCCGCACAAGCGGUGGAGCAUGUGGUUUAAUUCGAUCCAACGCGAAGAACCUUACCUGGUCUUGACAUCCACGGAAGUUUUCAGAGAUGAGAAUGUGCCUUCGGGAACCGUGAGACAGGUGCUGCAUGGCUGUCGUCAGCUCGUGUUGUGAAAUGUUGGGUUAAGUCCCGCAACGAGCGCAACCCUUAUCCUUUGUUGCCAGCGGUCCGGCCGGGAACUCAAAGGAGACUGCCAGUGAUAAACUGGAGGAAGGUGGGAUGACGUCAAGUCAUCAUGGCCCUUACGACCAGGGCUACACACGUGCUACAAUGGCGCAUACAAAGAGAAGCGACCUCGCGAGAGCAAGCGGACCUCAUAAAGUGCGUCGUAGUCCGGAUUGGAGUCUGCAACUCGACUCCAUGAAGUCGGAAUCGCUAGUAAUCGUGGAUCAGAAUGCCACGGUGAAUACGUUCCCGGGCCUUGUACACACCGCCCGUCACACCAUGGGAGUGGGUUGCAAAAGAAGUAGGUAGCUUAACCUUCGGGAGGGCGCUUACCACUUUGUGAUUCUUGACUGGGGUGAAGUCGUAACAAGGUA